AGAGUUUGAUCAUGGCUCAGGAUGAACGCUGGCGGUGUGCCUAAUACAUGCAAGUCGAGCGGUAAGGCUUUCACAGAUUAUUUAACCGGAAAAGUCCUUUGGGAUACUAUCCGUAACCGGAGUUUACUGGCUAGUAAGCACCAGUUGAAUGAUGUGUGAAAGUACACGAGCGGCGGACGGCAGAGUAACACGUAGGAACGUACCCCAAACAGAGGGAUAGGCACCGGAAACGGUGUCUAAUACCGCAUAAUAUCUUCGGAUUAAAGCUUCGGCGGUUUGGGAGCGGCCUGCGCAUGAUUAGCUAGUUGGUAAGGUAAUGGCUUACCAAGGCGACGAUCAUUAGCUGGUCUGAGAGGAUGAUCAGCCUGACUGGAACUGAGAACGGUCCAGACUCCUACGGGAGGCAGCAGUAGGGAAUUUUCCGCAAUGGGCGAAAGCCUGACGGAGCAACACCGCGUGCAGGAGGAAGGCCUUCGGGUCGUAAACUGCUUUUAUCUGUGACGAUUAUGACGGUAGCAGAAGAAUAAGGAUCGGCUAAUUCCGUGCCAGCAGCCGCGGUCAUACGGAAGAUCCGAGCGUUAUCCGGAAUUACUGGGCGUAAAGAGUUGCGUAGGUGGCAUGUAAAGCGAGUAGUGAAAGAUCCCGGCUCAACCGGGGGCACAUUAUUCGAACUCACAAGCUAGAGCAUGAGAGAGGUAGAUGGAAUUUCUAGUGUAGGAGUGAAAUCCGUAGAUAUUAGAAGGAACACCGAUGGCGUAGGCAGUCUACUGGCUCAUUGCUGACACUAAGGCACGAAAGCGUGGGGAGCGAACGGGAUUAGAUACCCUAGUAGUCC
rnacentral:rRNA from 1 species